rnacentral:rRNA from 1 species
CCUACGGGGGGCUGCAGUGGGGAAUAUUGGGCAAUGGGCGCAAGCCUGACCCAGCAACGCCGCGUGAAGGAAGAAGGCUUUCGGGUUGUAACCUUCUUUUCUCAGGGACGAAGAAAGUGACGGUACCUGAGGAAUAAGCCACGGCUAACUACGUGCCAGCAGCCGCGGUAAUACGUAGGUGGCAAGCGUUAUCCGGAUUUACUGGGUGUAAAGGGCGUGUAGGCGGGAAAGCAAGUCAGAUGUGAAAUUCCGGGGCUCAACCCCGGACCUGCAUUUGAAACUGUUGGUCUUGAGUAUCGGAGAGGCAGGCGGAAUUCCUAGUGUAGCGGUGAAAUGCGUAGAUAUUAGGAGGAACACCAGUGGCGAAGGCGGCCUGCUGGACGACAACUGACGGUGAGGCGCGAAAGCGUGGGGAGCAAACAGGAUUAGAUACCCUGGUAGUC